rnacentral:rRNA from 1 species
GAUGAACGCUAGAUACAGGCUUAACACAUGCAAGUCGAGGGACAGGCGCACGGGUGAGUAACACGUAUCCAAACUGCCCUUUACUCGGGGAUAGACUUUCGAAAGAAAGAUUAAUACCCGAUAUAAAGGAUGGGGAUGCGUUCCAUUAGGUUGUUGGUGAGGUAACGGCCCACCAAGCCUUCGAUGGUUAGGGGUUCUGAGAGGAAGGUCCCCCUGAUUGGAACUGAGACACGGUCCAAACUCCUACGCGAGGCAGGAGUGAGGAAUAUUGGUCAAUGGGCUUUAGCCUGAACCAGCCAAGUAGCGUGAAGGAUGAAGGCUUAUGGGUCGUAAACUUCUUGUAUAUAAGAAUAUGUAUUAUAUGAAUAAGGAUCGGCUAACUCCGUGCCAGCAGCCGCGGUAAUUC